UACAGAGGUCUCAAGCGUUGUUCGGAUUCAUUGGGCGUAAAGGGUGUGUAGGUGGCGCGCUAAGUCGGGUGUGAAAUUUCGGAGCUUAACUCCGAAACUGCAUUCGAUACUGGCGUGCUUGAGGACUGGAGAGGAGACUGGAAUUUACGGUGUAGCAGUGAAAUGCGUAGAUAUCGUAAGGAAGACCAGUGGCGAAGGCGGGUCGUCUGGACAGUUCCUGACACUGAGACACGAAGGCCAGGGAGCAAACGGG
rnacentral:rRNA from 1 species